GAUCUCGAUUGUAAAAGGCUGGAUCGCGGAUAGGGAGCGCGAGCGUGAAGAAACCGGCCGCCAUCUUACGGUGCUCACAACAGUCGCCGCAGCGAUCAUGGCAACUUCUUGCAAUUACGGUCGUACCAACCGUACUGGCAAGGUUACAGGGCCUAAAUUUAUACAGGUUUCGUCAUGAGGGCUGCCCAGUGAAUAAUCUGUGCAGUGUGAUACGGCUGGGUGUACAGGUUACUUCACAGCUGCCUCGACAUACUCAAGAAAUGGGUGCAGAACCUGCGUAAUGCCCACAAACUUUGACUACCACAGCAUCUCCAGAAAGUAAAGGAAUAUGUGUCACAUGGGAUUUUUAAAGGCAUUCACAGUAUAUAAUACCUUGUAUGAACUGUUGUAGAUCUAAGCAGCUUCUACAGUACACUCUCAGAAAUUAAAACUUGUCAGGGAA